rnacentral:lncRNA from 1 species
UGUAUAAGAGCUUCAACACAUGCUACAAAAAAAGAGUCAAAUUUUGCUACAUAUGCCAUAUCUAUUUUUUAUGGAUAAAAGAUUUUAAGUGACAUUUCAAGUUAAUAUUGAGACUAUCAAGAAUUUUUGAAAAAAAAUGUAGAUAUUCUUCUAAAGCAUCAUCCUUAUAAUUAUUCCAUCAAUCUUCAAGAAGAAGCUUAAUCACUA